AUUGAACGCUGGCGGCAGGCCUAACACAUGCAAGUCGAACGAGUGGCGGACGGGUGAGUAAUGUCUGGGAAACUGCCCGAUGGAGGGGGAUAACUACUGGAAACGGUAGCUAAUAACGCAUACCAUCGGAUGUGCCCAGAUGGGAUUAGCUAGUAGGUGGGGUAACGGCGCACCUAGGCGACGAUCCCUAGCUGGUCUGAGAGGAUGACCAGCCAGACUGGACCUGAGACACGGUCCAGACUCCGACGGGAGGCAGCAGUGGGGAAUAUUGCACAAUGGGCGAAAGCCUGAUGCAGCCAUGCCGCGUGUAUGAAGAAGGCCGUCGGGUUGUAAAGUACUUUAAGCGGGGAGGCGUUACCCGCAGAAUAAGCACCGGCUAACUCCGUGCCAGCAGCCGCGGUAAUAC
rnacentral:rRNA from 1 species